rnacentral:rRNA from 1 species
UACGUGGGGUGCAAGCGUUAUCCGGAUUUACUGGGCGUAAAGCGUACCGUCGGUGGUCGAGUAAGUUUCUUGUUUAAGCCUGGGGCCUAACUCCAGAAAGGCGAGGAAAACUACUUGACUUGAGUCUGUUCGGGGAAUUUGGAAUUCUCAGUGGAGGGGUGAAAUCCGUAGAUAUUGAGAGGAACACCAUACGCGAAGGCAGAAUUCUAGGGCAUGACUGACACUCAGGGACGACAGCUCGGGGAGCAAAAGGG